GCGUCUUUAGCUCAGCGGGAGAGCAGUAGCCUUUGGGGAAGUAAUUCAAUUGGAAGAAAACGCGAAUGCAAGUUCGAAUCUUGCCUUCUCCACCAUAAGCUAUUGGUCGCGAGUUCAAAUCUCGCAAGACGCACCA
rnacentral:tRNA from 1 species